UGAGGGAAUAUUGGGUCAAUGGACGGGAGUCUGAACCAGCCAAGUAGCGUGCAGGAUGACGGCCCUAUGGGUUGUAAACUGCUUUUGUGCGGGGAUAAAGUGUGGGACGCGUCCCAUAUUGCAGGUACCGCAUGAAUAAGGACCGGCUAAUUCCGUGCCAGCAGCCGCGGUAAUACGGAAGGUCCGGGCGUUAUCCGGAUUUAUUGGGUUUAAAGGGAGCGUAGGCCGGAGAUUAAGCGUGUUGUGAAAUGCCGCGGCUCAACCGUGGCACUGCAGCGCGAACUGGUUUUCUUGAGUGCGCGCGACGCAGGCGGAAUUCGUGGUGUAGCGGUGAAAUGCUUAGAUAUUAGGAGGAACACCAGUGGCGAAGGCGGCUUACUGGACGGUAACUGA
rnacentral:rRNA from 1 species